rfam:Parcubacteria (Thrbacteria) bacterium GW2011_GWC1_41_20 TT50_C0001, whole genome shotgun sequence.
AUAUAUGAGAGUUUGAUCCUGGCUCAGGUCGAACGCUGGCGGUGUGUCUAAGGCAUGCAAGUUGAGCGAACUUUAUUUCUUCGGAAGUUAAGUUAGCGGCAAACGGGAGAGUAACGCAUUAGUAAUUCACCUUGUACUCGUGAAUAGCCCAGAGAAAUCUGGAGUAAUACACGAUAUGAUGGGGGGACAAAAGUCAUUCCCAUUGAAAGUUCCGACGGUGCAAGAGAAGCUUAUGUUCUAUCAGCUAGUUGGUGAGGUAAAGGCUCACCAAGGCUACGACGGAUACCGGGCGUGAGAGCGUGACCCGGCUCACUGGGACUGAGACACGGCCCAGACACCUACGGGUGGCUGCAGUCAAGAAUCUUCCGCAAUGCACGAAAGUGUGACGGAGCGACACCGCGUGUCGGAUGAAGGCCUUCGGGUCGUAAACGACUGUUCUGAGGGACGAACUUUGACGGUACCUCAGCAGAAAGGGGUUGCUAACUCUGUGCCAGCAGCAGCGGUAAUACAGAGACCCCGAGCGUUGACCGGAUUUAUUGGGCGUAAAGCGUGCGCAGGCGGCUUUGUAAGUCAUUUGUUAAAUCUUCAGGCUUAACCUGGAGGCUGCAGGUGAUACUGCAAGGCUAGAGAGUGGGAGAGGUAGAUGGAAUGCCCGGUGUAGGGGUUAAAUCCGUUAAUAUCGGGUAGAACACCAAAAGCGAAAGCAAUCUACUGGAACACUUCUGACGCUGAUGCACGAAAGCGUGGGUAGCGAAUGGGAUUAGAUACCCCAGUAGUCCACGCCGUAAACGAUGAGUGCUAGGUAUUGGCAGUAUCGACCCUGCCAGUGCCGUUUAACCAAGCUAACGCGUUAAGCACUCCGCCUGUGUAGUACGGCCGCAAGGCUAAAACAUAAAGGAAUAGACGGGGACCCGCACAAGCGGUGGAUCAUGUGGUUUAAUUCGAUGGUACGCGAGAAACCUCACCUGGGCUCAACUACUAGCUGCAAGCUUUAGAGAUAAAGUCGCUUUUGAAGGUGCUAGAUAGGUGCUGCAUGGUCGUCGUCAGCUCGUGCCGUGAGGUGUACCCUUAAGUGGGGUAACGAGCGCAACCCCUGUCGUGUGUUAUACUUUCACACGAGACUGCCUUCGUAAGAAGGAGGAAGGAGGGGAUGACGUCAGAUCAGCAUGGCCCUUACGUCCAGGGCAACACACAUGAUACAAUGGCCGGUACAGCGAGAUGCCAAGUCGCGAGACGGAGCAAACCUCUAAAAACCGGUCCCAGUUCGAAUUGGAGUCUGAAACUCGACUCCAUGAAGCCGGAAUCGCUAGUAAAGGCGGAUCAUAACGCCGCCUUGAAUACGUUCUCGGGUCUUGUACUCACCGCCCGUCACGUCAAGAGAGUUGGUGGUGCCCGAAGGUCGUUGUAGGACGGCCGAAGGCAAAAUCAGCAAUAGGGACGAAGUCGUAACAAGGCAUCCGUAGCGGAAGCUGUGGAUGGAUCACCUCCUUU